rnacentral:lncRNA from 10 species
CUAUAGGUGCCCGCCACCACACCUGGCUAAUUUUUUGUAUUUUUAGUAGAGACAAGGUUUCACCGUGUUAGCCAGGAUGGUCUCCAUCUCCUGACUUUGUGAUCCACCCACCUUGGCCUCCCAAAGUGCUGGGAUUACAGGCGUGAGCCACCACGCCUGGCCUUUUUUUUUUUUGAAGCGGAAUCUCGCUCUGUCACCCAGGCUGAAGUGCAAUGGCACGAUCUCGGCUCACUGCAACCUCCGUCUCCUGGGUUCAAGCAAUUCUUCUGCCACAGCCUCCAAAGUAGCUGAGGCAGGAGAAUUGCUUGAACUCAGGAGGUGGAGGUUGCAGUGAGCCAAGAUCAUGCCACUGCACUCCAGCCUGGCGACAGAGCAAGACUCAGUCUCAAAUACAAAAAAAAAAAAAAGAGAAAGCAGGAAGAGGGAACAGGAAGUACUGGGAAAUGUAAUUUUUUGAUGAGGGAGAGUUUCUCCAAGGAGGCAACAUCUGUAAAGACCUGCAGGAGUUGAGGGCAGGCGCCAUUCAUCUUCCAGCCUUUGGUCAGGCCUGCCCACUUCUCUCCAAGGACCUUCUCCUGCCCUCAUGUGGGUCCUCUGGUCCAGAAUAGACUUGUGAAGUCAUUGACAACAAUCCUCAAACACUGCACUCCCCCAAGACUGCAUAAUAAACUCAUUCAUACUAAGGU